rnacentral:piRNA from 1 species
CUAAAAUGAGAUUUUCUGACCUUCUAG